ACCAUUCUCAAAGCACAGUGGCUCAACUUGAACCUACAAUAGAAGCAACGACGUGUGGUGCGCGGAUAACCAUCAGAUACACCAACGGAACACUCACUGAGACACAGGUUUUUCACAAACAAGAUUGAUUAUGCUGAGACCACUUUGACUGAGGUUGCUGAGGAAGCUGAUGCUGAUACGGCUGCCGCCAUCCAAACUCUUGUUCCUGAGUGCCAGGGUCGGACCAUCUAUGCCUUGGAGGAGGCAACUGAAGACCCCAGCACAGGAAGAAAGAAGAGUGCGGUUGGAAAACCUAUGUUAGACUGCGAUAUGUCGAGGGACUAGGGUGGAACACCUACUGUGCACUUGAGUUAAACUGCGUCAUCUGAAUGUGAUGACAAAAAGCAACAUCACACAUCGACCCUCUUGUAGUUAUCAAAUUCAUGAUAGAUAUUGUAUGAUUCUUUAGGCUGAUCUACAUUUAAGAGCCCUAUGGUACAAAUUAGUCCAGAUUACACCAUUUGACACUUUUCAGUAAUUAUUUUGAGAAACAUUGCAUUUGUGUAGCAGUUUGUUUUUCCGUGAAA